UACGGGGGGAGCAAGCGUUGUUCGGAUUUACUGGGCGUAAAGGGCGCGUAGGCGGCGCAACAAGUCACUUGUGAAAUCUCCGGGCUUAACUCGGAAAGGUCAAGUGAUACUGUUGUGCUAGAGUGCGGAAGGGGCAACUGGAAUUCUCGGUGUAGCGGUGAAAUGCGUAGAUAUCUGGAGGAACACCGGUGGCGAAGGCGGCGUUCUGGACUGCAACUGACACUGAAAAACGAAAGCCAGGGGAGCAAACGGG
rnacentral:rRNA from 1 species